AAUGUUGGAGACCUAUAAAAACAUUUCAGGAGAAUGCAGUGUUAAACGACAGAAGCCAGAUUAUCAAGUGUUAUUUGAGGUGCCAGAAAACUGAGAAGAGAUUCAGGUGAUCACAGUAGUCUGCAGCCCCACCAACCCUGCAGGCACUACAUGUAUAGUCAGUAAAUUAAAGUCAGCCAUCACUACGAAGCAAGGAUCUGCAGCAGGGAAUUGAGAUGCAGUGUGCUCCAGCAAAUUAUCUGAGGUCACUGCUGGAACUGGGUAGAAGGCUCAAGUGCAACCUACAUCCUUCUCCACAUCAUGAUUUAUUGGAUAUCAUUCCAGAGAACGUCAGUGAUAACUUAUUCUCCUUCUUCAGUCCCAGUCCACUGGGUACUACCUCCAGUGUUAAAAUACAGAGACAAGCUGCUUCUGGGCUUUGUCAGCUGCCGAUUAUUGCUAACAGCAUGCCUCUUCUGAGCUCAUCAAAUACUCCUUUAUAUGCUGCCUAGUGCACCUACUUUCCCAUUCUUAUAUUUCUUUGUAAGAAAUUUAUGACUUAUGUAUCAAGAAAAACCACAAGACUAAAAAAAAUUGCCAUUGAGCAAAACACUGCCACUCUUUAAAUCACACUCAAAUAGAAGAUGUUGAAAACUACCAUCACUACCCUGGAAAGGAAUUUUAAGAAGAAAACAUCUGCAUUUGCAAUUAGCAACAAAAACUGGAAUCCGUACUGAACUUUAUCCUAUUGUAUCUGAACUGACCUAAUUUCCUAAAGCAUUAUCAUGCUGAUGAGUUAAAUUAUCAUAACAGAUUUUUUUAAGCAGUGGAGAUUUUCCACUAAAGCUGCAAGUGACUUUGAUUUGCACAAUGCAAAUAGAUCUUACACUUCAAAUGGUGGGAUGCAAAAGCUAAAUAAAUAUUCACACAGAGCUCCUGGAAAUCCA
rnacentral:lncRNA from 1 species